UACGUAGGCAGCAAGCGUUGUCCGGAAUCAUUGGGCGUAAAGAGCUCGUAGGCGGUUCGCUAAGUCGGGUGUGAAACCCCCAGGCUCAACCUGGAGACGCCACCCGAUACUGGUGUGACUCGAGUCCGGUAGGGGAGCGUGGAAUUCCUGGUGUAGCGGUGAAAUGCGCAGAUAUCAGGAGGAACACCAGCGGCGAAGGCGGCGCUCUGGGCCGGAACUGACGCUGAGGAGCGAAAGCGUGGGUAGCAAACAGG
rnacentral:rRNA from 1 species